AGGGCACCCACUAGCAGUUCACUUCCGACUAUUAUGGGAUGUGUUUGUAUGAACUGAUCAAAGUUACUCUCUAGUCUUGUAGCAACACCUGACAAAUGGCAGCAGAGAGUAGCAAACGGAAACAACAGUUUCUAUUAGACCGGACUAGGAAUAAACUGGGGCUUACGUUACCCCCCGCAUCCGAAUCACCUUCCGGGGAUGCAACAGAUUGCAAACCAUCAUCAUCCACAAAUGUGGAAUCAUUGCAGAAAGCACUUGCAGGACUGGAUCUUGAUGAUCAACAGCGACAGAGACUUGAACAGUUUUUGACACAGAAAAAGAAAGUGAGAGAAUUAAUGGCAGAAGACUUUCAGAGAUUAGGAGAACUUGGAGCAGGCAAUGGGGGUGUUGUCACUAAAGUUUUACACAAACCAACAGGUUUGAUAAUGGCCAGAAAGCUAAUUCACCUUGAAAUCAAACCAGCUGUGAGGAACCAAAUCAUCCGUGAACUCAAGGUGCUGCAUGACUGCAACUCCCCCUACAUUGUAGGCUUCUAUGGUGCAUUCUACAGUGAUGGAGAAAUAAGUAUUUGCAUGGAGUAUAUGGAUGGUGGUUCCCUUGAUUUAAUAUUAAAGAAAGCAGGUAGAAUUCCAGAGCCAAUAUUAGGAAAGAUUACAAUAGCUGUUUUGAAAGGGUUAACAUAUUUAAGAGAAAAGCAUCAAAUUAUGCACAGGGAUGUGAAACCUUCAAAUAUUCUUGUCAAUACAAAAGGAGAAAUCAAGGUCUGUGAUUUUGGAGUAAGUGGACAGCUCAUAGAUUCCAUGGCCAACUCUUUUGUAGGAACGCGGUCAUACAUGUCACCUGAACGUUUACAAGGAACACAUUAUUCAGUGCAGUCAGACAUUUGGAGUAUGGGUCUUUCUCUAGUAGAAAUGGCCAUAGGCAGGUAUCCUAUUCCUCCACCAGAUCCCAAGGAUGUGAAAGCCUUAUUUAGUGAUGAUGUGGCUAUGGAGCACCUGAAUGCAGCUAGGACAGGAAUCCCACUGCCAGGCCUUCCAAGCAACUUUGAAAUAAUGAGCAAUGACGGGCCUAUGCCUAUGGCUAUCUUUGAGCUGUUGGAAUACAUUGUAAAUGAGGCAGCAGAAAUAGCUUUACUCUCCCCUCAGCUGAUGGACCUAGACCAAUGGCCAUAUUUGAGCUUUUAGAUUACAUUGUCAAUGAGCCUCCUCCAACCUUGCCAAAGUCAGCAUUUUCUCCGGAGUUUGAAGAAUUUGUUUCCAAGUGCUUGCAGAAGGAACCAACAGAACGUGCAGAC
rnacentral:misc_RNA from 1 species